rnacentral:rRNA from 1 species
ACUGUUUACUAAAAACACAGGACUCUGCGAAGUCGUAAGACGACGUAUAGGGUCUGAUGCCUGCCCGGUGCUGGAAGGUUAAGGGAAUUUGUCAGGGGCAACCCGAAGCAAUGAACCGAAGCCCCAGUAAACGGCGGCCGUAACUAUAACGGUCCUAAGGUAGCGAAAUUCCUUGUCGGGUAAGUUCCGACCUGCACGAAUGGCAUAACAACAUCCGCACUGUCUCGACCAGGGACUCAGCGAAAUUGCAUUGGGGGUGAAGAUGCCCUCUACCCGCGGCAAGACGGAAAGACCCCAUGAACCUUCACUGCAACUUGGCAGUGAAAUUCGGGUUGAUCUGCGUAGGAUAGGUGGGAGGCUUUGAAGUCGGGUUUCCGGAUUCGACUGAGCCAACGUUGAAAUACCACCCUGAUUAAUCUGGAUUUCUAACCUGCACCCGUGAUCCGGGUGAGGGACACUGCCUGGUGGGCAGUUUGACUGGGGCGGUCGCCUCCUAAAUUGUAACGGAGGCGUGCGAAGGUUCCCUCAGGCUGAUUGGAAACCAGCCGAAGAGUGCAAACGCAUAAGGGAGCUUUACUGUGAGACUGACAAGUCGAGCAGUUGCGAAAGCAGGUGUUAGUGAUCCGGUGGUACCAAGUGGAAGGGCCAUCGCUCAUCGGAUAAAAGGUACUCUGGGGAUAACAGGCUGAUCGCGCCUGAGAGUUCACAUCGGCGGCGCGGUUUGGCACCUCGAUGUCGGCUCAUCGCAUCCUGGGGCUGGAGCAGGUCCCAAGGGUUUGGCUGUUCGCCAAUUAAAGCGGUACGCGAGCUGGGUUUAAAACGUCGUGAGACAGUUUGGUCCCUAUCUGCCGUGGGCGCAGGAUACUUGAGAGGAGCUACCCAUAGUACGAGAGGACCUGGGUGGACGAACCUCUGGUGCUCCGGUUGUCACGCCAGUGGCAUAGCCGGGUAGCUAUGUUCGGAACAGAUAACCGCUGAAAGCAUAUAAGCGGGAAGCUGGCCUCAAGACUAGGUAUCCCUGUCGCAAGACACUAAAGGUCCCACGUAGACUACGUGGUUGAUAGGCCAGGUGUGGAAGCACAGCGAUGUG